CUGGACCUUCUCUCUCUUCCUGCCUUGGCCCUGGAAUGUCCCUAUUCCUGUCCCUCCCUGGUUGGCUGCCCCUCGAUUCCCUUUCUCCAGCAGCAGGAGGACAGCUUGGAGAAGGUGAUCAAAGAUACUGAGUCCCUGUUCAAAACCCGGGAGAAGGAGUACCAGGAGACCAUUGACCAGAUAGAGCUGGAGCUGGCCACGGCCAAGAGCGACAUGAACCGCCACCUGCAUGAGUACAUGGAGAUGUGCAGCAUGAAGCGGGGGCUGGACGUGCAGAUGGAGACCUGCCGCCGCCUUAUCACACAGUCCGGAGACCGAAAGUCUCCUGCUUUCACUGCGGUCCCGCUUAGCGACCCGCCGCCGCCGCCAAGCGAGACUGAGGACUCCGAUCGAGAUGUCUCAUCUGACAGCUCCAUGAGAUAGGAACCAGGGCCUGGUGCCCCAGAGCUCUCUGGGGCAGGGGUGUGGGUCUGCAGAGGACCAUCUUCUGUGCCACCGCAUGAAGCCUGGCCCUGGCUUGUCCUCUCCAGGGUUCUGGGGUGUCUGGAGCUAGGCUCGGCCCCACCCCCUGUACAACUCCCAACACAUUGGGGCACUCCUGCCUUCCUCACAUGUGGGUAUCUGCUACUUCUCCAUCUUUGGAAUGCUGCCAGCACACUUGGAGCCUCCCUUUUCCAUUUGUAAGGAAUGUGG
rnacentral:lncRNA from 1 species